CUCCAGGUUGCUUAGGGAAGCCUCAGAGCUCAGGUGGCUGAGAAUGACAGUACACAUCAGGCGAUGGAGAUGUUUCUCUUUCUUCUGAUAAGCACUUAAAUGCUUACCAGGUUCCACUACCUGGGCAACAAAUGUCAUCCUUGCCUUUGGCUGUGGAUUGGUGCAUUUGAUCCUAUCAAUCCCUUGUUUUCAGCCUAAUCCAACUUCCCCAAAACAUGGGGAAAAGAAGAGGAGAAUAUCAGAAAGCUUUCAAAUUUGCAACUGCAAGACUGAUACACAUUUUGCAAGGAUCUGUCUGAUGUGUACAACAAACAUUGGAAUUAAGGCUUCUACAAUACUGGUAUGUGGUCAAGUCUAUGGCUGUGCAAUGCUGGACUUCCGCAAAGCAUCUCCAGCUUCCACUGUUACCCAACUUGUAAACCAGAAGAUGUGCUGAUGUAGGUGGAUAGCAGCUCCAAGACAAGUCUGAGAGCACUGAACACAUUAAGAAGUGAUUGCUGAGCCCGUUAGGGACAGGCACGUCUGCGGACACUGUAGCAGGGUCCCCGGCCGCGGAGAACACGCCGAUCCGGCCCGUUUUGGACAGACACCGAGUAAGACUGAGGACACCAAGAGUAACUGAAGUAAUUUUCAGGAACACCAAAUUGCCAGCUUCUAUAAUGUCCAAUUCCAGAUACCCGUGAAACAAAACCUGGAAGUCUCCAAACCUAUAAUCACCUUGGCUUCCAGGGAAAGCAUAGCCUUGAAAACCACUCCAUGAUGAAAUCUCCUCCCUCCAAGCAGCAAUAGUCACCUCAUGAUGGGAAUGGAGGGAGCUUCUCUACCAAGCAAGAGCAAUCAUCUCAUGGGAACCAAGUUGUCCCUAAGGACUCCUCCAGAACUAUGAAACCAGAACUGAGAUAACUGGCCAGACCCUGGCCCACCUCAGCUAGUCCACUAAAGCUGGCCUUGUGCUUUUUUGAGGGGACGAGUCUGAACCACUGCAUCAGUGUUCCCCCUUCCUUUCUAACUCUCCCUGAUAAAUCUGCCUACACCGAUGCAUUCUGAAAUUAUUUUUCUGUGACAUGCAUCAAGAAACUACUCAGUGGGCCCAUUUGAGGUCCUUAUUUCCUCUUAUAGGACCUCCUUUGACUCCAUCUGGUGACAAUUUUAUGAUCUUAGAGAAUAAUCCAAACUCUACUUAUAAGAUAUUAAACUUCCAGGAAUUUAUUAUGAGAGUUUAUUGAAUGAAACAAAAAGAUUUUUACAGUAUGUUCACAUUAUACAAUACUAUGACUCCAUUAAAAAAUAAGGCCGAUCUAUGUAUUUUGUCAUGACAAACUCUCAGCAUUUAAUGUUGCAUGAAAUGACUGACUGACUCUCUCUCUCUCUCUCUCUCUCUCUCUCUCUCCCUCCCUCCCCCUCUCUCUCCUAGUUGUGUGUAUCCAUGCAUUUGUGAUUGUAUAGUAAAAGGAUUCCUGGAGGAUUUCUGAAAAUUGGUAGCAAUGUCUCAGGGAAACUGAUAAACUGGGCAACAGGAAAAAAAAGAGAAAUUACUUAGAGACCAAGAGAAAGCAGCAGCUUCAGCAGCAGCCCUAAAAGAAAUAGACUGUAAUUCUGAUCCUCAAGACUGCAGGAAGAGCUCGACGACUAAACCCACCUGCCACCACUGCAAAAAGCCAGGCCAGCUUAAGAAGGUCUGUGACAAGAGGCCUCCUGGUCCAUGCCCCGAUUGCAAAGGUGACCACUGGAAGUUGAACUGCCCUCUGAGGCCCCAGAGCUCAGACCCAUCUUGCCAGGUGGUCCAGCAAGACUGAAGGGUCCCAGGGACUCUGCCUUCUCCCUCUGGCUAGACUGUCAUUUCCACAGAGGAGCCCUGGGUAAUCAUGACUAUAGAGAGAAAAUAAACCAG
rnacentral:lncRNA from 1 species